AUGGAUUCCAGUGAGGAAUACAUUUAUGAUGAGGAUGAGCAUGGAAAUUCAGUUAGGAUGAAAUCAAGAUUUCCCAGAUUUGAUAGCAAGGCUGCAAUUCCUAUCUCCAGCCUAGGCAUGACAUUUAGGGGAAGAGGUCAAUUCAAGAGGGCUGUUGUGAAGUAUGUUCUAGCUAUGAAGAGGCAUAUUUCCUUUGUAAAAGAUGAGGCUGGUAGGAUUAGGGAAAAAUGUUCUUGGCCAAAGUGUCCAUGGUUGAUAUAUGCUGCAAAGAGGAGCUCAAAUGAAUGGUUUCAGGUCAUUACACUUGUAGACAACCAUAUAUGCCCACGGAGGAGAGACAACAGGUUGGUAACUGCCCCUAGAAUUGCACAUAAGUAUGAGAGAAUCAUGAAGGCCAAUCCA
rnacentral:rRNA from 1 species